GAAGCGUCUUUGUGUUGUUGUUGUGUUUCUGUCUUAUAAACUACAACUCCCAGGAGCCCCUGCAGGUGAAAGCACAGGUGGUUUGUAUUUGACGUCACCGUGAACACUUUGUCAAACAUUCGUGUGCACAGCUGAACGUUUGGGGACUGAAUCCUUCAAAUCCCUCAAGGUUAAAAACUUUAAACAUGGAAUAUAAAGACGUCUUUACUCCAGAGAAGCUGGCUGGAAGGACCAGAUCUGAACUGAAGAACAGAGUGAAGUCCGUCUACCUUUGACAGCUCGCUGUUGAGGGCGGAGCCUGGCAGCGAGGAGAGUCCGAGGCCCGGCUGGCGGCUGGAGUAGGUGGGCGGAGGCUGGAUGAGGGGCGGAGUGUGUCCGAAGGCGCUGAGCCCUCGCUGCUGGGACAGAAGCUGCUGGUGUCCGUACGAGCUGCUGGCCGCCGAGCUGGAGCGCGAGUUGUUGAUGUAGGCGACCAGCGAGUUGGGCGAAGUGCGGAUCAUCGUCUGCAGGUCGAUGCUGGCGUCGGACAGCGGCGAGAUGGACAGCGCCCGCUUCCUGCUCAGCCUCGGCGUCAGUCUGGGGCUGGAGAACCGCGACACUGCAGGACACACAGCUCGGCCUGCAGACGGUGUCGAGUCCACGCUGACCGCCGAGGUCGACCGGCUGCUUUGAUCCCUGACCCUCGGCCAAAUGGUCCCGCCGCAGCACGGCCGCUCGCUGUUUUACAGCCACAGUUUGGACCGCGGACUUCCUCCUCACCGGCCGGAUGGGCCCUUUAAUUUACACACCAACACCUACGGUCAGUCUUUCUGUUUCACUUGUAGUCAUACAGCAAAUGUUUGCCCACAUCCUGCAGCACAGUCACACCUGAACACACCGUCAGUCUAUGUUGCAGCAGCAGUUUGAGACAGUUUGGAUUUGUUGUAGAAGGAUUUUGUCGGAUCGGGAGUGAAGAAAUCAGGCUUCUCCCUCAAAUAUCACCCAGAUUUACCAAACACAACAACUUCUGUCCCGCUUUCAAACUCACGUUCUGUUUCUCUGAGGAUUUCUGUUGUGUUGGUUAUUAUUCCUGACGUGUUCGCUGACUCACGCUUGACGAGCGUUUAGAGGUAAUAACUCUCCAUCAUCAUCAUCAUCAUCAUCACAUUAGGCCUUAAAUGAAGGGAAACUCUCUGCUGCUCUGAGUCACAGUCAGCUGUGUGGGUGUGGACACAAUAACAUGAACACCUGCAGAGCUUCAUCCAGUCAGUGAGUCUGUACGCUGACAUCUUUAUACUUUAUUGCUAUAUUGAGACGUUUCUUUGCUGAUAUAUUAUCAGCGAUGUCCAAACUGAGGCCCAACACAAGAGAAGGAAAUUAAAUGUUCUCUAAAAUUCCCUCCUUGGUUUGUUUAUCUCGUUGUCACCGGUAUAUUAUGAUGUCACAGUGAAGUUGACCUUUGAUCUUUUAAAUAUAAAAUGUUCUACCUUCAUCAUUUUAUCCUUCAAGACAUCUGUGUAAAAAAAAAAGUGAGAAUUUUAACAGGAAUUGUUCAAUAAUGGCCAGAAAACGUGUGUUUGUUGAGGUGACAGGGAUGAAGUCAGGCUGGCAGCCUGGCAACAUUCAGCCACCACAUGACAGAGUGACGGACAUGAUGCUGUUAGUGAACCGCUCUGAACGCAGGUGGUGUCAUUAUUCUAUUGAUGUUACAACAUUUACUUACUGACGCUGAAUGUGAACGGUGCCAGGCUGCCAGGCUGAUCCAGUCAGGUCAGCAGCCUGGCACCACGACAGAGAAACAUCAUGGAGGCUGCUGGUGCCAUUAACUCUGCAGACAUUACAACUUUUACUUGACUGGAGCUAAAACCUUUCAGCAGGAGUUUCUGUAGUUUUUGUUUAGUAGUUUGUCUUCAGUCGGACUUUGUGUUCUGGACUUCAGCUGUGGUAUCUGAGCCGCCGGCUGGAUGUCGGUGCUCUCAGGUGAGCAGCAGUCAAACAGCAGCAGCUCCUCUCUGAGCUAACAGCCAGUGACAGAGUGGAAAACCUGCCGAGGCCCCGUCACUAACAGCAUGUCACAGACCUCCAGGGCCCCCGGCCGGGAUCCAGUCUGUCCCCGGCCCCUCUUCCUGGAGAAGAGGGGCCUCCGGGGGGGCCGGACAGAUUCCUCCUGACCUCGAGGUCUGAUUGAGCUCACGGAAAGACGCGACCGAGGGGGAUUGAUUGCUAAGGAAUACCACAUGGCCCCGCCGGGACGCCACAUGGUAAAAGACUCUACGGAAGGAAAAAGAUGGCAGCACUUCAGAGCUCGCGUUCGCUUUACCCGCCUGUCACGGGAGGAAGAGGCCGAGUCAGACGAUGACUGAACACGGCAGAGCGAUCACAUCGAUUGAUAAGCACGCUGAGCCCUGAUGAAGGCUGCGAUCGCUGGUUCUCUCAUGUCGAAGUGUCACGGCGGGCGGCUCUGCUCGCGGCGGGGGGGCUUCCUUCAUAUCCGCCCUUGAAAUCCACACACGGACUCCCCGACUCGACUCGGCGGCUGUCAGGCCUGAUCGUGGCGUUGCCGCCGUCCCUUCAGGAGUUAAUUAACAGACGCAUCAAAGGCGAUCCCGGAGAGCGGAGGCUGUACAGCACAGAGGAGGAGCCAGGGGCCCCCGGCGGGCCCCCGACCUUUGAUUCGUGAUGUCUCUCUGAGCGUGAGCGUGUUUCAGCGUUGCAUUAAACGCGGCUCUGUUUUCAUCAUGUGUAAUUGCUGCUGCCUGGGUCUGUCGGAGGAAGUUUCUGAGAUGUUUGCGGAGGCUGUAACUUCUCUCCGUGUCCGCGGCCCGUCCUCAAACUGUCAGAAUCACGUGCUCGCGUGUUAACGAGUGUUUGUGGUGGAUCAGCAGGAGGUCGGCGGUCCAAACGGAGAGGAGGAGGUCAGCUGACGUCUGCACGCACAAACACUCGUUACAAUACUGAUGAGCUCAUUCAGUAAAUCAAUACUUGAUUUAUGGAUGAUUGUUCCAGCAGAACUCCAGUUAAUGUCCAAUGAAUUCAGACAGUUGAGGUGCAUUUAAUUAUUAAAUGUAGGUUAUUUAUUUUUGUGUAAAUUUGCUUUAAACAUUUUUAAUUAAAUCACAGCAGAUUUAAUGUAUAAAAACGAGAGCAGCUCUUUGUUUUAUUAGCAGUUUUUUUGCAUCUUACACAUUUAUUAUCAAUUAGUUCUUUAAAAUCAGGA